ACAGCCAACAUGUUCAACCACCAAAUGGGGAAGUAUUAGAGAAAAAAAUGGGAACAUUCACAAGGUCUUCUGGUUCAAGUUCAAGGUUGUCCUCAGCCAGCCUGGGCUGCAACUGAAGCCUGGAUCACUUUACUGCCUGGCUGUAGAAGUGAGAAACGAGCAGCCCAAGCACCAAAGGAAGCCCAGCCUAGCUGCGAGGUCACAGCAGCCCAGCUGCUACCAGGACUCCUCCUGGGGUUGGGAGCACACAGGAGGGACCUCACUGGGAACCGGGUCUGUGCUGGGUAGGAGAGGAUAGUGGCAGAGGGACCACCUGCUGUGGAAGUACCAAGUACCAGAGGUGCUUCCAAAGUGUGAGGGGCAACGUAUGAGGAAGCCAUCCAACAGCAUUUGGAGACGAGCUGCACCGCACCCCAAGCAGAAUGGAGAUCGGGAUCCCAGCUCAGCACCUGGCCGGUGAACCUGCAAGAGCAGUUUCUGGGGGUACUCAAAUGGAGGAAAAGAAUCAGAAGCAUGACAGACGAGACCCUCUAACGAAGUGUAACAGAGCUACACUCUGUAGAGAUGCUUAAAGAUGCUCUUUAGACAAGAGCUGACUGAAUAAAGAUGGGCCUGCUGCACAUGUUGUGCAUGAAGACAGGUUCUUAAAUUAUGAAUAAUGGACACAAGAUGCAAACAGCACAGCAUCCCAGAGGAGAUGAGAAAUAUUUAAAAUGCCAAGAAAACAAACAAGAAAACCCAAAACACCCUCUUCCCCUGUGAAGCUAGAAACAAACUUCACAAUAAGCAGCCAGAAUUUGUCAGUAGCUCUAAAGAAAAUAGAGAUGCUGAACAUGAGUAAGUGUUUGUGCCAGCCCAGCUCCUGGAAGCACCAGCAACAACACAUUUCAGCAGACUUGCUGCUCCUAAAGGCAGGAGGAGCCCAUUAAUAUGGCAAUGGAAAUAAACUGUAAAAAGCUUUGCACAUGGAAUGCGGUAGAACAGCAAGUGACAACACAAGAACACCAAAGCCACUUGUGCAAAUGCCACAAAAGCAACAGAAAACAACCUCAGUUUGUAGCAGAGAUGCAAUAGGGACUACGAUAUCGCCAUAUGCUUGAGUUUGAUUGGCUUUAAAAAAAAUGAAACUUCCGGGAAAAAUCUGAAAUUCCAGCUUUAAAGCUCCAAGAAGCUUAAACUGCAAUUUAUGAGCCCAUCACCUCCCAGGCAGCGCUGUGAGCACACUGGGCAGGAAGCUCGCCGUGUUUGUACUUCAUUUGUUACACCACGAGGAAAGAGCAGACAUUGGUCACUACAAACCAUUCAAUUGAACACUCAUUUUCUAACCAUUAGGGAGAGGAUAAAUGGUUCAAGUUCUGGAGUUCUCAACUGCAAGCCCAACUAGAACCAUAAUUACCAAAUUCCAACUGGUAAAUUGUGCAUGGAGAGGAUGAAAUAUUAUGUUUUCUCAUCUCAAAUACAAUCACCUCUUCACACUGGCCAACAACAACAAAAACUGAAUAAAUGCUCCAUUGUGUAUACUUCUAGACUACCACAUGCAAGCAUAAAUUGUGCUGUAACAGUGGUUACAAACCACCAAACUAUCAGAUCAAAAAGAGGCAUAAUUUUCCAACUUGGAUGUCACAAGUUAAAUUCCUUAAUCCAAAAUAAGUCAGCAAAAGAGCUCAGCACCCCUGCCCUUUUUGGCAGAAGGAGCAAGUAUUCCAGGCCUUCAAAAGUGAGUCCAAUCUAACUGUUUUGACUGGGAAAAAAAGCCCCCACAAGUACAUUGCAUUUGUUUCGACUGCCCAACAAGAAUUGCGUCUGGGUAACUUUUAAAUAGAUGGGCAACUACAGGAAUGCUACUCACACACAGCUCUGAGCCUGAUACCCAACAUGCGACCGUAAAUCCGGGAACGAAGCAGACCACAUGAGGAUACAGCCAUUGAUGUGACAACUGUGAAACAUCAUUGUUGCGGCGUGCGAUGCUCUGCCCUCUUUAAAAACACCAGCACAAAGCCACGCACGUGAAGCACACGCCUGUUCACAGCAAUAACCUCCAAAGCAAAGCAAGGAAGACCACAGGGCUGGCAUCAGGAGGCAGCAGUUGAGCCAGGUGCAGCUGGGAGAGGUGUCACAAAGAGGAGCUCAUGCCCCACUGCACCCAGCGGUGCCAGGAAGGCUGCGCUCCCAGCGUGGCAUCGGACCUAGCUGCUUCCCACAGGGAUGUCCUGGGAGCGGUGGCUGUGGCAGGCAGGUAUUUCCAUGCACCACGAGUCACCUUCUCUCUUUUCUUUGUCCCAGCCACAUGCAGCUUCUGCAGCUAGCUCAAAAUGCCACACCAGGGACAUGCGUCUCUCUCAUACAAUAGGAUUUUCAGAGUUAUUCAUGAUUUAGAAAUGCACAGAUUAAUUUGGGCUGCUUUACAUCCCAGUCUGGCUUUUAAUGCUGCGUAACUUGCUCUUUAUAUCGGUUCAAGCUGAGAAGGAAACUAAGCGCAGCUUGCAAACCCUGCAGUUGUACUUCUAAAGCAAUGGAGAAUGAUGAAGUGCAGGCUCUAACCAUUCAUCUUUGCAAGGAUUAAAGUGAAAUUCACUCAAGAAUUCAAUGGAUACAGGUGUCUGAGAAUCCCAUGCAAAGCUAAAGGUUGAUGUAAGGCCAGAUACAGUGCACACAGUUUGUUUGCAAGGGCAAUUGGUUUGGAAUAAGCCAAAUUAGGUUUGCAAAGACAAGACUUUUCCCAGCACUGAUCCUGGCAUGGCUUUUUCCCUCAUGAGCAACACACCUCUUCCCAGCCGGUCCCUCCAGGUCUUUCCCUGGAGCCCUGCAUGCUGCCACGUGCCACCACUCGAAGACACGCAAACUGCUCUGAAAGCAUCUGCAGCAUGGCAGCAAGAGCCCUCCAUAGCCUUCAAAAGGGGGCCUCCAAGAAACAGCUGAGAGACCUGCAGUCAUGUCAUUACAGAGGAGAAACCUGAGGGAAGAGCUGGGUCUUCGGAUGCACCUGAGAUGGUGGAAAGAAGCUUCUCCAGGGCUGGAAGGCAGCAGGGGUAAAUGCAGAGUGCUCGCACGGCUCUUUGCCUGGCAUCAGCCCACCACACAUUUCACAGGGACCCUCGUCCCCUCCCAGCCCCAUACACCCAGCUCCCUGUAUUUCCAUCUCUGGAAGCACAGCAGGCUCAGACUCAAAUGCAAGCUUUGUACUUAAAUCUUCAGUUCUGCUCUAAGGUCUUUUCCUGCACCAUCAUGCAAAACACCAGUCGGUGACACCGCAAACCGCAUGGGGCAGAAGCGUAAGUUUUGAGGAAUGUAUUUGAGAGCGACCUUCACACGGUGCACAUCACACUAGGUAAAAAAAAAAAAGAGGCAGUGUGAAAUGCUUUCAUUGGCUUAACUGAUUUGGAUAUAUUUUUUUUUUUAAAAUAAAGGUGUGAUGGAAGCACAGUCAAAACCAGACAGCUUUGGCUACUACAACCGAUUAGCCUGCCCACCACGUCACAACCACAUCUGAAGUGCUUUCAGUAAUUGUGACGAUAACCAGUGCGAAGGGCAACAACAGUGACUUCACGAGCCGAGUGGCAGCACUUAAAAUGCUCACAAAAACAGCAACACCAUCCAGGAAGAGCUCCGAUGCUUUAAAAAGGCUCAAAACCCCCUGUUCUCUCCCACUGAGAUUAUAAAAAGUUACUGAGCAUUAUGAACAGACAUGCCAUGUACUUCACUUUGGUCAUGCAGUAAAGAAAUAGAUCGGGAGUUCCACGUACUGGCGUUGAAUGCAUAAAAAUAACCAAGACAUCCGAGCAUUUCAGAGUAUCUACUCGCUUUCAGGAAAAAAACGUGACCGUUCAUAUGAUUGCUUAAGCAGCAAAGCAUCUUUUUAGACAAAUAGGAAGCCAGCGAGCCUGUAGCGAUGUCAAGCAGCCCUAUUUUUAGAAGCAUGUGUCAAGGGCACAUGCCUAGAAAGCGCUUUCACUGCUUCAGCAGUUUACAGGAAAAACGAGGUAGACGAGCACAUGCGUAUGUACGGACAGAUGAGCCCGAGUCCCGUGUGGGAAUAAUCACGUGGGGCCGCUUCGGCCCUUCCAGGUGACACCCGGGAGCAGCGCCAGCCUGACGCAGCCCCGGCGCUACUCGGGUGACACGGGACAGGAGCAGGCGCGUGGCGCUCGGUCCCUGAGCAACACGGGAGGGCUGGGGCAGCACAGGCUGAAAGCAAACGGACUACAUUACAUUCUUUCACAUGAAAAUUGAAUAUUAUGAGUAGGCAGCAGGGUGUCUGCAGAAAAAAAAAGAAGUGAAUCACUAUAAAAAGCUUCGCAUUCCCAGUUGUUUUCUAUUUUAGGUUCCACCUAUGAUAAUUUUCCAAACUGUUCAGUAGCUCUAGCAUCAGCUGUUCAGAAAAGCCCAGCAAAUAUUUCAUCUGUGCGUGUGUGGAUGGAAGUCUGCAGAGUCGCUUAAAGGAGGCAAGAAGCCUGAUCAUCUUGGCUCAUCCUGGAUCUUUCUAAUACUGUUCAAUGCCUCCAAACCUAGACCACAGCGCCUAAUACUGCAGUGUAUUUGUACAUAACGCUGUAAUGCAUUAUCUGGUAGGUCUUGUUUGUUAAUAAAAAACAGUUACCAAGCAAAAAAAAGUUUCACCACUACAUAUAUGCUUAACCUGCUACUUUCAAGUAGUAUCUGUACACCUG